GACGAACGCUGGCGGCGUGCUUAACACAUGCAAGUCGAACGGAAAGGCCCUGCUUUUGUGGGGUGCUCGAGUGGCGAACGGGUGAGUAACACGUGAGUAACCUGCCCUUGACUUUGGGAUAACUUCAGGAAACUGGGGCUAAUACCGGAUAGGAGCUCCUGCUGCAUGGUGGGGGUUGGAAAGUUUCGGCGGUUGGGGAUGGACUCGCGGCUUAUCAGCUUGUUGGUGGGGUAGUGGCUUACCAAGGCUUUGACGGGUAGCCGGCCUGAGAGGGUGAGCGGCCACAUUGGGACUGAGAUACAGCCCAGAGUCCUAUGGGAGGCAGCAGUGGGGAAUAUUGCACAAUGGGCGGAAGCCUGAUGCAGCAACGCCGCGUGUGGGAUGACGGCCUUCGGGUUGUAAACCGCUUUCGCCUGUGACGAAGCGUGAGUGACGGUAAUGGGUAAAGAAGCACCGGCUAACUACGUG
rnacentral:rRNA from 1 species